UACACUCUACUGUUAAUAUAAAAUAUAAUUAUAUUGCAGAAAAUACAACAAAGUUACAAGACACACCAUUCGCAAAAGAAGUCACAGAGGCAGGACAAUAUCCAAGAAAGUCAUCAUCAUCACCUCUUUACACACUCAUAUGGCACAGAUUCAACAAGAGAAUUACGUGCCAAUUUUAUUCUUCAACUCUCUUUUAUCACAUUACAGACAAACACUGUUCUCAUAGCAGAGAACAUAAUUGAUUCACUCUUCCAUGCAGAUGAGACACCUUAUACCCUCCCCUCUCAGCAUAAGGUCAAAUGCCUUGUUGAUCUCUGAGAAUGGCACAGUGUGAGUGAUAAAUUUGUCC
rnacentral:lncRNA from 1 species